AUGGCACCCAAAGCAAAGAAGACAUAUGUCUACAGUACUCAGACAAGCAAACAAAAGAAGAGCUGGGUCUCUAAUAUACAAGCUCAAUCUAAUUCAUCUCCUGCUGUCCAAACAAGUCACCAUUCUCAGCUCUUCCGCACCUCUCAUAAUAUCCUUCCUACACUUCCACCUAUAUGUCAGACUACCCUACCCUCUGCUACAUGCCAAACUUCUCCAUCCAUGUCAUGCAUUCAGACUACUCCACCAUCUACAUCACUUCAUGCUGUUCCUAGCACACCUACUCCACAGAUUAUCCUAUUCACAGCUACCUGUCAGACCACUCCCAAACCGUCAAAGCCUACCCCUUCCAUAUCUACUGCUCAAACUGGCCCACCUACAUCUACAUCUCAGACUAACUCUUCUGUAUAUACAACUCAGAUCACCUUGUCUUCCACAAGCUCUCAGACCCGUCCAAUACCUCAUAGUAUUAUCAAUUUCCAAGAAGUAGAAAGUGUUUUAACACUUUCAUUUGGUCGAAGACAGAAAAGGUACAUUUCAGUAAAAAAACUUUAGCAGUUCUUAUAUAUUUCUUGUAAUUUAUGUUUUUCCUAUGCAUCAUGUUUUGUUUAAAUGAAUUAUUAAUGUGACAUACUUAGCUUGUUGUUACCUUCCUAACAUUAAGAUACCAAGUGACAGUGGACGAGUUGAGACGAAGAGUUGGGGCCCCGGAAAAUAUGUCUUGCAAAUACCCUUGUCUGCUUCCUUCGUGUUCAAAAGAACAAGAAACAGGAGUUGAAACAAAGGCUUCAAAAUGCGUGUGUCAGCCCUGGACCUUUAACAAGUGUGGUGUCAAUGUGCUCAAAAUUAACUGAGGGUAAAUUAUUUUGAUGAGUUACAUUAGAUCUGUGUGUGUUUAUAACACACCAAAAAAAUUGUUCAUGAUGACAAAUAAAAAAAAUAUAUAGUAAUACUUGUUACA
rnacentral:lncRNA from 1 species